rnacentral:rRNA from 1 species
AUUGAACGCUGGCGGAAUGCUUUACACAUGCAAGUCGAGCGGCAGCACGGGGGCAACCCUGGUGGCGAGCGGCGAACGGGUGAGUAAUACAUCGGAACAUGCCCAGUCGUGGGGGAUAACACUUCGAAAGAAGUGCUAAUACCGCAUACGUCCUGAGGGAGAAAGCGGGGGAUCUUCGGACCUCGCGCGAUUGGAGUGGCCGAUGUCAGAUUAGCUAGUUGGUGGGGUAAAGGCCUACUAAGGCAACGAUCUGUAGCUGGUCUGAGAGGAUGAUCGGCCACAAUGGAACUAAGACCCGGCCCAGAUUCCUCCGGGAGGCAGCAGUGGGGAAUUUUGGACAAUGGGGGCAACCCUGAUCCAGCCAUUCCGCGUGAGUGAAGAAGGCCUUCGGGUUGUAAAGCUCUUUCGGCAGGAACGAAACGGCGAGCUCUAACAUAGCUUGCUAAUGACGGUACCUGAAGAAGAAGCACCGGCUAACUACGUGCCAGCAGCCGCCGUAACAC